CCUACGGGAGGCAGCAGUGGGGAAUUUUGGACAAUGGGCGCAAGCCUGAUCCAGCAAUGCCGCGUGUGCGAAGAAGGCCUUCGGGUUGUAAAGCACUUUUGUUCGGGAAGAAAUCUGUCCGGCUAAUACCUGGGCGGGAUGACGGUACCGGAAGAAUAAGCACCGGCUAACUACGUGCCAGCAGCCGCGGUAAUACGUAGGGUGCGAGCGUUAAUCGGAAUUACUGGGCGUAAAGCGUGCGCAGGCGGCUCUGUAAGACAGAUGUGAAAUCCCCGGGCUCAACCUGGGAACUGCAUUUGUGACUGCAAGGCUAGAGUGCGUCAGAGGGAGGUGGAAUUCCGCGUGUAGCAGUGAAAUGCGUAGAUAUGCGGAGGAACAUCGAUGGCGAAGGCAGCCUCCUGGGAUGACACUGACGCUCAUGCACGAAAGCGUGGGGAGCAAACAGGAUUAGAUACCCUGGUAGUCCACGCCCUAAACGAUGUCAACUAGUUGUCGGGGAUUCAUUUCCUUGGUAACGCAGCUAACGCGUGAAGUUGACCGCCUGGGGAGUACGGCCGCAAGGUUAAAACUUAAAGGAAUUGACGG
rnacentral:rRNA from 1 species